rnacentral:rRNA from 1 species
GGGCCCGCACAAGCGGUGGAGCAUGUGGUUUAAUUCGAUGAUACGCGAGGAACCUUACCAGGGCUUAAUGUAAGUUGCAUAAGCUAGAGAUAGCUUUUUCUUCGGACUACUUACAAGGUGCUGCAUGGUUGUCGUCAGCUCGUGCCGUGAGGUGUCAGGUUAAGUCCUAUAACGAGCGCAACCCACGUCUUUAGUUGCCAGCAUUUAGUUGGGCACUCUAGAGAGACUGCCGGUGAUAAACCGGAGGAAGGUGUGGAUGACGUCAAGUCAUCAUGCCCCUUACAUCCUGGGCUACACACGUACUACAAUGCUACGGACAAAGGGCUGCAAGUUCGCGAGGACAAGCAAAUCCCAUAAACCGUGGCUCAGUUCAGAUCGUAGGCUGCAACUCGCCUACGUGAAGGCGGAAUCGCUAGUAAUCG